ACCGGGCUGCAUGUUGUGUUCUUGAGCAAGACACCUUAUUUCACGUUGCUCCAGUUCACUCAGCUGUAGAAAUGAGUUGUGACGUCACAGGUGCCAAGCUGUAUCGGCCCCUUUGCCUUUCCCUUGGAUAACAUCAGUGGCGUUGAGAAUGGAGGCCAGUAUGCAUGGGCAACUGCUGGUCUUCCAUAAACAACCUUACCAGGACUUGUACCUCGGAGGGUAAUUUUCGAGGUACAAUCCCAUGGUCAAUGUCGUGAUCGAAGGGAGUCCCAGAUGGUAAUAAAAGGGUUAAAGAUAUUUUAUAUCAUAGAAUCAGGGUGGUCUCAGACAGACAGGUAUUAAACCAUUUGUUAGUAAAUUUUUGUUGAAUUACACAUCAAUUCUAUUAAUUAAAAAAAUAAUGAAGAUUUCAAUAAAAUAAAUUUUAGUUGGUGUUUUGAACAUAAAUUAACAUGGAAUUUUUUUUUUAGGGUUUUAAUAUAGAUAACUUUGAAAUAAGAUGUUUGCAUCAUAUAUCCAGAGGAUGGUCAUGUGUGCGCUGAUAUUAAAAGAGUUAAAGAAUUUUCACGUAAAUAAUGUUUCUAAAUUUCGUUUUUGGAUUUGGUUUUCAUGAUUCUUUAAUUCUUUUAUACAGACGGAUAGGUCUAUAGACUAUAUGAACAGACACGUAUGGAUCCACACACAUAUAUAUAUAUAUAAAACUGUAGUUGUGUGAGUGUCUGUCUCCUACGAUUUAGAUUCCUAACUCCUCCCACAUUUUGCGGUGCAGUUUAACCAAAUUCAUACACACACACACACAUGCACACACAAGGAGACAGAGGUGCAUACAUAUACAAACACAUGUUCACACACACAUACAUACAUACGUGUAUGCAUGUAUAGGCACACACACACUGACCCACACACAUGCGCACAAACAAACAAAAGGAAUGCAGUGUAAAUAACGGACAGAGUCAAGACCAUUGAAAAGGUUUGCAAGAUGCAACGAAAAUUUUAGGAAAAUAGAAAUAAGAAAUAAGUGGAACUUUUACCGGUGAGUGUGUUAAAUAAUAAGGCACUAAAAGAGAAUGACUCUCCCCAGACACAACAGAAUGUUUCUAAAAACUUCUAAAAAGUUCUAAAAUUUUCAAAUAUUAACUUAAUGCUUUUAAACAGAACAAAAAUAAUUUAUUUUCUUUAAUAUGUAUAUUCCUAAUAUAAUAUUCUUUAAUAUGUAUAUUCCUAAUAUAAUAUUCUUUAAUGUGUAUAUUCCUAAUAAGAUAUUCUUUAAUAUGUAUAUUUCUAAUAUAAUAAAGUCACAUUUUUCUCUUAAACUGCAUUUUUAUAAAAUACAAUUUUUUUUUCAAUUUUUGUAUUAUGAUAUAAUAAAAUACCAUUUUCUGAAG
rnacentral:lncRNA from 1 species